GCGUUAAGUUGCAGGGUAUAGACCCGAAACCCGGUGAUCUAGCCAUGGGCAGGUUGAAGGUUGGGUAACACUAACUGGAGGACCGAACCGACUAAUGUUGAAAAAUUAGCGGAUGACCUGUGGCUGGGGGUGAAAGGCCAAUCAAACCGGGAGAUAGCUGGUUCUCCCCGAAAGCUAUUUAGGUAGCGCCUCGUGAAUUCAUCUCCGGGGGUAGAGCA
rnacentral:rRNA from 1 species